ensembl:lncRNA
CUUUACGUUAUUAAACCCUUUACGAUAAUUUAUGAUUUUCAAAUGAAUUUUCUGUCAUAGCAUCGAAUAUUAUUAAUAAUUAUUCUUACGAAUCAGAAAACUUUCAGUGGUUACCGCGGCAACGGUACGUCACGUUACGCACCGUGACCCACGCUUCUUACCCAUAAUCACUUUUACCACUCAUUUCACCCGCCAAUUGACUACACUUUAUUGCAACACUUUUUGCCUUCACCAACACACACAUAUAUACACACACGCACACAAAUCAAAACAACGGCACUUUUAAGAGCCACACUCUCUCUCUCUCUCUCUCUCUCUUUCUCACUUGUCUCUUUCGAUCACUCUCUUUCUCUAUUUCUUCAUCUUGUUUUUUUUUUUUUUUUUUUUUUUUGUGUAUUGUUUCUAUUUGUAUGUGAUGUCCCUAAAUUCUGACGUCAGGGUCUUUGAUGAUCCCAAUGAUGCCAGGAUCCACAUGGCAGCAUUGAUUAGUGAUGCUUAUCUCCAUGAUGCCAGGGCUGCCAUGGCCAAGAAAAACCCUGCCUUUCCCCAAAGAAAAAUGAGAAAAAGCAGGAAGAGAUCCCUCACUAAUCCACUGGUCACAGGCAGGCGUGAGAAACGUCGGGAAACACACUGCUCUGCAUCAGCUGCUUCUCAAUCCAGAAGAAGGGAUCCAGUGCAUGAGGAAGGCCUUCAGAUAGAAGAUCAAGAGUUGGCAAGUCUUGAAACAAGACUCCAAGAGUUAAGGGACACUAUAACUGCAGACCAGGUUCCGGAGGGAACAGACAGAAUGGUUUCUGCUUGGGAACAAAGGCAGCUUCUCACAGAUGUGAGAAUGAAAACUGCUAGGCCUAUGCUUUUUGAUGCAAAGCUCUCAGCCGAGAGAGUAUCCGUCCAAAAUUGUCACAGAUGCUGUGCUGUAGAAGCUGUGAUUAGGUGCCUGGACUGUGUACCACUGGACAUGGAGUACCUCUGUGCUACCUGUGACAUGGAGGCCCACAAGAGAAAUAUCUUCCAUGACAGAGAGGCUGUGUUCCAUGGAUUUCUUGAGCCCAUUCCCCCUACAACUGCUGUGGUGCUGAAUGAAAAUGGCCAGCCUCAGUUUUGUGAACAAAUAUGUCAACUGCCUGUUCCUGCACCAAGGUCAAUUUGUGAAUGCACACAUGACUUCACAAUCACUCCAGGGAAGCAUAUUUCUGUGGUCACCAUCAAUGGACGAUACGAUGUCUGCUUGCCUCGGAAAUCCUGUUCAUCAUGCUCUGCAGAGUGGACUCCCGAGUUGAAAGAACUGCUCAUUUAUCGGUACUGGCCAGCUAGCACCAGCUGCCAGACCCUGUACAAGUUUGAUGUCUUCACCUCGUUUGAACAUAUGAAGGUGACGGCACCAGCCAUGUCCAGGCAGGCCUUCCUGAAAAUGUUGGAGCACAGAUCUGUUCAAGCUGGAAGGACAGGUAGUAUCUGUGCUGAUACAUUUCAGCGAAGCUUUUUUGAGUUUACCUUCUGUCAAUACAAAGAAGAGGAUAUGUGCCAGGUCCAUCAUUUUGAGUGUCCAGCAUGUUAUCCAGACAUGUUGGCUGUCUGCUCUGAUGGGAACCGAAAACAUUACCGCUUCAGCAAGUCAAAAGGGUAG